AUUGAACGCUGGCGGAAUGCUUUACACAUGCAAGUCGAACGGCGGCACGGGUGCUUGCACCUGGUGGCGAGUGGCGAACGGGUGAGUAAUACAUCGGAACGUACCCAGUCGUGGGGGAUAACGUAGCGAAAGUUACGCUAAUACCGCAUACGUCCUGCGGGAGAAAGCGGGGGACCGUAAGGCCUCGCGCGAUCGGAGCGGCCGAUGGCGGAUUAGCUAGUUGGUGGGGUAAAGGCCUACCAAGGCGACGAUCCGUAGCGGGUCUGAGAGGACGGCCCGCCACACUGGAACUGAGACACGGUCCAGACUCCUACGGGAGGCAGCAGUGGGGAAUUUUGGACAAUGGGCGAAAGCCUGAUCCAGCCAUUCCGCGUGAGUGAAGAAGGCCUUCGGGUUGUAAACUGCUUUUGUACGGAACGAAAAGGUCUGGGUUAAUACCCUGGGCACAUGACGGUACCGUAAGAAUAAGCACCGGCUAACUACGUGCCAGCAGCCGCAGUAA
rnacentral:rRNA from 1 species